CACGUAGGGGGCGAGCGUUGUCCGGAAUCAUUGGGCGUAAAGAGCUCGUAGGCGGCUCAGUAAGUCGGGUGUGAAACCCUCAGGCUCAACCUGGGGACGCCACCCGAUACUGCUGUGGCUAGAGUCCAGUAGGGGAGUGUGGAAUUCCCGGUGUAGCGGUGAAAUGCGCAGAUAUCGGGAGGAACACCAGCGGCGAAGGCGGCACUCUGGGCUGGUACUGACGCUGAGGAGCGAAAGCGUGGGUAGCAAACAGG
rnacentral:rRNA from 1 species